rnacentral:lncRNA from 1 species
UAUUCUUCUUCUUAGGUUUAAGCUUUGUUGAAAUGCCUUCCAUUUGCGCUGCUUACUAGUUAUGUUUUAUCAAAACAUAUGCAAUGAAAAAACUAUCAUUUUAAUACAUUUAAGAAACAUUGUUCUAUAAUAAAUAUUUUUAUUAUAGAAAGUUAUGCACCCAACAGCUGGUUCUCUAGCUUAAGUUAUGCUUAAGUUAGUAAUUUAGCUGGAUGACCACAGUUGUGAAUGAGUAGUUUGAUAGGCUGGUUCUCUAGCUUCCAUGAUCAUCUUUUCUGGAUUCUAUGAAUAUAUUGUUUAUCAAGUUUCUCUGGACACAUAACAUAGUAUCUAAAAUUGGGGAUCGUACAACAACAACAAAGGUUUAAGGAUAGCUACAUACACAAACAUUUAAAUCAUAUGGUAUAACAUCUUGGCUCUUAUAUGUUAAAGAGAUGAUUAUAUUCAAAAUUGUAUAUUGAUCACACAGAAUCCUCUAUGGAGUUACUAAUUAAAUUGCAGAUGUCACUGCAUAUACCCUAAAAGAGNNNNNNNNNNNNNNNNNNNNNNNNNNNNNNNNNNNNNNNNNNNNNNNNNNNNNNNNNNNNNNNNNNNNNNNNNNNNNNNNNNNNNNNNNNNNNNNNNNNNNNNNNNNNNNNNNNNNNNNNNNNNNNNNNNNNNNNNNNNNNNNNNNNNNNNNNNNNNNNNNNNNNNNNNNNNNNNNNNNNNNNNNNNNNNNNNNNNNNNNNNNNNNNNNNNNNNNNNNNNNNNNNNNNNNNNNNNNNNNNNNNNNNNNNNNNNNNNNNNNNNNNNNNNNNNNNNNNNNNNNNNNNNNNNNNNNNNNNNNNNNNNNNNNNNNNNNACUCUUGAACAACAAAACAGAUCCAUGCAUAAUCCAAAUAUAAAACAAUACCAUUUCUAAUUUUUGGAUUGAUUUCCAUAGUGAAUCUAAUUACACCAAAAUGAAGAAGUUUGUGAUUGAACAUUGAAAGGCAAUGACACUUGCCAAAUGUUUUAAGCAAAGAUAGAUGUCACAACCCAGUGUGUCUGUCUUCCCAGAGGAUGAAAAGAGAACAUAUAUAUCUACGUACCUCACAAAAUUGCAAUAUUUUCCCAAAACAGAAAAAUGAGAGAUACUGCAUGAACACACUGCCAAUAAGAUACUUACCCAAAAUUGCAAUCCUUUUUUCCUUGCUUAUAUCACGAACUUUUACUGCAUGAACACACUCACUCAUCACAACACUACCAAGAAGAUAAAAACAUGCACAUCACAACACUACCAAGAAGAUAAAAACAUGCUCAUCACAACACUGCCAAGAAGAUAAAAACAUGCAAAGAGUCAUGCAUGCAAUGUGAGUAAUACAUAAAUGACUCAACCUCUCCAUGUCUUUCUAUUGCAUUGCAUAAAUUCUUGUCAAGGAAACUACAAACCAAACUUAAGAAAUGUUUUAAGAAAACUAACAAAAUGAUGAACUCAAGGCAGGGGUUGAUCCAAAAUUUGCUACACCAAAACAAAUCCAAAAUUAAUUCACUACUAGAAAACUAAAGAUCAAUAAUUCUCUCCUUAAUUUCAAUUACACCAUGUAAAAGGGUCAAAUUUCACUAUGAAUCCAGGACUGGUAAAAGCUAAGAGAAGCCUAAAUUACUUAGAAAUGGACAACUUAAAAAAGAGAGUAAAAAUUGCGAAAAAAAAUGCAUAAGGGGCAAUAGAGAAAGAAGCAAGAGUUCACUGACAAGUGGCAUGGCUGAACAGGGCAAGAAACAUAAACUUUUAAUGGCCAUGAUAUAUUUUCUUUAUCUUUUUUUCACAAUUAAUUCAGUACUUCAUAUUAAGUAGUUAAAAAUUCUGCCAGACAAAUCCUCCCCAAAUUACACGACCUCUAAACCCACAAGAACUGCCAGACUGCCAGUCAAACUACAAGGUUAGCAAUGAAUCCAACCAAAACUUAGAAUCCAAACAAGAAGUUUAGUCAGUCACAAAUAAAGACUCAAGAAUGGUAAGGGUAACAAAACCUAAAGCUUCACAAAUCCCCUGGGAUGUGUUUCCACAUCUUACCUCACAUAUCAGUCUGGAAAAAUAUGCUCUAUCUACAAUGUUUCAAAUAAAGGGGAGACAUCUUCCCUGAGCAUUUUAUUAUUACUAACCUAUGAUUUGCUAAAAAGAAUCAAACAAAAACAAUAUUCAAAUUUAUGUUUUUUAAUCCCUGCUGAAAAAGAACUAACACAAAGUUACAUAUGAUAGAUUUUUGUCAUCAAAUAAAUAACUACAUCCAAACUCAAGUAAGCAUCUCCUUCCAGUAUUUAGAUCUCCUACCUCACAUCCGUGGCUUGUUUUUCGUGUACACUAGCAGAUUUUAAUCCUUAACCGGUUUUACAUGCUAAAAAGAAAUGAACACAAACGAAUCAACACCUAGACAUAAAAAAUUUAAGAACUAUAUUUAAAUUCAAAUAGAUAUUGGUAAUAAAGACCAAGAAUUUAAGAAAGCAUAAGAUGAAUUGAAGGAAUAAAAAAACCAGAGAAAUUCAAAUAGUCAGUCCCAGUUAAAGACAAAAAUAUGUGUGGAUGCAAAGAAGAUCGAUAAUCAUGCAACACAAAUUAGGCAAGAACAUUGUUCCUUUGCACGAACCAAGUUCAAGUUCAAAAUUCAUUUGUCAAUGAAAGAAACUAAUAAAGUAUAUCUGACAGACACAUCAUAUAUUACAAACUUCAAUAAUCAACAAGAACUAUAUUCAAAUUUAUAUUUUUUAAUCCUCAACUGGAAUCAUGUUGAAAACGAACUAACGCAAGCACAUAAACGGUUACAUAUGAUAGAUCUAACAUAAAAUAAAUAACUACAUCCAAACUCAAGUAGACAUUUGUCAUGAAAGAAAGACAAAAAAUGUAGGAUAACAAAACCUAACGCAUCAAGGAUCUCCAUCCAGUAUUUAGAUAUCCUACCACACAAAGAAAUCAACACCUACACAUACAAAUUUUAAGAACAAUAUUUAAAUUCAAAUAGAUAUCAAUAAUAAAAACCAAGAAUUUAAAAAAGGAUAAGAUAAAUUAAUGAAUUCAAAAACCGGUGGAGCCUUAGUUGCUCAAAACACGCACGAUGAGGUAGAAGAUUCAACCCUUAGGCCUUAUAUAACAUACUCCAUGAUAUGGUGCAGGGCAUUAAGUGAAAAUAAUUCAAACAUCGAACACAAUUCAAUCCUUGGAGAUCAAGUAGAGAGAAAUUAAACAAUAGAGAGGAAACUCAUCAAGAAAUUAGGAUAUCCUGAGCUGCAGUCGUUUUAAACUCUUUUAGAGUUUAGGGUUUCAAAUAUCAAGUAGAAAAAAUUCAAUCAUCGAACACCAUUUAAUCCUUGGAGAUCAAGUAGAGAGAAAUUAGGGAAACAAAACAUAAUACUUCACAUCAUGUCCUACACUACACCACACAUCCAUUGCGUGCUUUCCCUGUACAGCCCAAAAAUUCAAGAAACGAAUUAGCUGUACAGCCAAAAAUUCAUGAAAACGAAAUAACCUCUUAAUAAAAAGAAGUAUAGAAAAAUGAUAAAAAUGAAGAUGCAGAUGCAGAUAAAGACUAAAAAAGACUUGGACAGUUACACAACCAAACACCACUGCAGACAAACACCAAUAAACAAAUCAUAAUCCAAUCCUUAUUUUCGGUGAUCAAUACCAGAUAAAUUAAAUAAUAGAAAGGAGACUAAAACAAGACUUGGAUCAAUUGGCCUUUCUAAACUAUUAUGUUUUUCAUUUCAUCGAUAGACAAAACAAAUCUCAAAACCAAGUCACCAGCAGAAAAGGGAUAAAGGAAUUUGAUCAAAAGAUUCAAAACUUGCCAUCAUCACAAAGAAUCACAUUCGGCGUAAAUGAAUCACAAUCCAAUAAAAGCACAUUAAUCACUUACAAAUAAUUUUUCUAUCCCACGACGCAAACAUCAUGUAAUUCUACAAAACCUUAUAGAGAAUCACAACAAUAACCGAAGCAAUACUAACAAAACUGAUCUUGGAUAUAUAUGUAAUACUAACCAAUGACUAAAUCUAAUAACCCAGCAACCAGAAACUAAAUCUAAUAACCCAGCAACCAGAAACACAGUGUUAGGGUACAAUCGAGAUGGAUUGAAAACGAAAGGAAAUGCAAAACUUACGAUGUUAGGGCACAAUCAAGAACACGGUCGUACUCCGGUCGCAAUGCUUGAAUGCUCAACAGAGAGAGUACUUCGGUCGCAAUGCUUGAAUGCUCAACAGAGAGAGUACUCCGGUCGCAAUGUGAGAAUGUUGUUGAUGCUGAGGAAAAGUGGAGUGAAGUGAGUAUUGCAUGGAGAGAAUUGCUUCAGAAUUGAAAAAUGAAAGAAGAAAAAGAAAAGAAGGGAUUAAAGUAAAGCAAAAAUAAAAAUUAAUUAUUUGUGUGUAAUUUGCAUGGGCUUAACCUUCUUAUUAUUUAAAUUUAAUUUUAAAACUUUUAACGUGGGCUUAACCUUCAAAUAUUUAAAUUUUAAUUAUUUUUAUAAUUUUAGUAGCUGCCAUUUCAACAACGCAACCAUUAUUAUUAUUUUUUUUUUGAAGUUUACGUGAGAAUAACACACGCUUUCCUCACACCUUAUUUAAUUUAUUUUAGGUUUAAUGGAUACUAUAUAGUGUCCACUUAUGGCCUUCAAUAUUUGUUUGCAGCUAAAUUAAGAUUUCUUUGUAAUGAAAUAACUUUUUUUUUACCACCAAAAGGAAUUUAGAAAAAACGAGAAAUUGAACAAUAAGAUGAACGAUGUGAUAAAGACCAAAUAAAAAUAUAUUAAGAAUAAAAUCAUUUUAGUGUUACUUAUAAAAGAAUAGUACACAUCAGAUUUCUCUGGUUACUGAUAAUAGAAUUUAUAUAAUAAAUAAAUUAUUCAUACGAGAUUACAUAAAACUAACUCAAAUUUAACCAUAGAUUGAUGACAGCUUCAUAUAUUGGAGUUUUUUUACGUGAAUUUUUUAUUAUUAUUAAGACUCUUAGGACCAAUCAAACAAUAGAACACAGUUUGAAGAGUCUUAUCAUGUACGCAACGAAGUACCAAAUAAAAUUUUGAGAUGUGUUACAACUAUACCUGGUAAAAGUGGGAUAGUCCAACCUCAUUAAACUCUUCAAGAAAAAAAUGUGAUCAUAUAGACUACUCCAUAAUUUCAACAAACACCAAUUUUCAGGUUUAGUUCCAUUCUAUAUUAUAACAUUUCAUUUUCACUUAGAAAAAAUAAAUUCACCUCCACACUUACAACUUUAUCUACUUAAACCAAUUUAAUCCAACUACGUGUUAAGAAUAUAAGUAUAAAUUUGAGUCUCAUUUAAUAAAUAUAAGAAGUUGAAUAACAAAUAACUAUGAAUAAAUAUAAAAAGUUGAAUAACAAAUAACUAAUCUUAAGUUUAGCACAAAACACAAUUAGUUCAACUAAAAACUUACAAAAAAUAUUGGAAGCAUCAAUGGAGCUUAUUGCAAUAAAAAAAAAUCUAAACAAAACAUUGUUUUGUUAAAAUGUGCAUCUAUUAGUUAAUAAGUUUAUUAUAAAACUUGUAUUGAUUUUCAUUUUCACUCAAAUUAUUUUAUUUUUUUAUAUCUUUAAUCAUGUAACGACAUGUUAUAUUCUUUUGUAGGAUAUCAUAUGAACCCGAGGGAUAAUUAAGACAAAGGUUUGGAUUUCUAAAAAUAAUAUUAAUAAUGCAAAUAAUAUUAAUAAUCUAAAUAAUAUUUAUAAAAAAAUUAUACUAGACAUUACAAACAUCUCACUUAUAUUGACAUUUCAAAUUUCAACCACCUCUAUUGAAAAAAAAAAUUAUUAAACAAGUAAAAAAAAAUACAAACAAGUACGAGAAAUUAAAACAAAAUCCAUACUAACCAUAAAAUACAUCAAAACUAAACAAGAGAAACAUAGUUAAUUUAUACCUAUUAUGGAAAAUGUUCAAGAAUAUAUUAAAAUAAUAUAUUAAAAUACAGUCUAUUAUACCAAAUAAAGUCUUACCUAUAAAGAAAGUCUAAAUUGACAGAUUUAUCAUUACCCCUCUUAAAAUAUGAAAGACAUACUUUUACAAUAAAUAAGACAUUUAUUUCAUUUAUUCUUAAUAAAUCAUCAAGUCACAUGAGUCAUAGAAGGAAAAGCAAAGCAAACUAAUAUGAUUCACACUCUUACCAUAAUAAAUUAUAAACCAAUGUAAAUAACAUUUAAUGAGGGAUAAAUUUUUUCAAUAAAUAAUAAUAUUUUUUAAUUUAUUUUUAGUUAUUUGUGAAUCUCAUUUCGAUUUGAUAUUUAAUUUGAGUGUCAUAUUGUCAUUAACCAAUAUUUAAUUGUUUUUUCUCUUAUUCUAUUAUUGUGUCAUUCCAUUUGGAGCAAUAGAGGGGCUAGUUUAGUGUAUGUGUUGGCAUUUGAUUUGUUCCUUUUCGGUAUGUUCGUACAAGGUAAAAUCGUAAAAAGGAAAAAUUAGAAAACUGUCUUGUUAGAGUAUUGUGUUAGCAUAAUAUUGAUCUCAAAAUAAGGUUAUUUUGUAUGUUAUUGUUUUAUAAAUCUCAAAACAAAUUUUGCAGGUUCAAGAAAAAGCUUUGGAAUAUGGAAAUUAAAUAUAAAUAUUUAUCAAAGAAUAGAAAAAUACUUCAAGUUAGCAUGUUCCUCAAUUGGAAUAUCGAUCUCAAAAUAAGUUUAUUUUUGUACUUCACUAUUUUAUAAAUCUCAAAAAAAAAUUGCAGGUUCAAGAAAAAGCUUCGGAAUAACAAAAUUAAAUUUAAAUAUUUAUCAAAGGAUAAAAAAAAAAUUAAAAAAAAAAUACUACGAUCAAGUUCAUUUUCUUGAAAACUUUACGAGCUCUAAAAUAAAUAAAAAAUACAACUAAUUAUUCAGAAAUUUAUGAACUUGGAAAUUUUUAAUUUUCAUUAAGAAUAAUUAUUUUUUAUGAUAUGUUAUUUGCAAUUAAUUAAUCUAGUAAAAAAUUACAAUCAAAUAACGAGACUAUUGAUAAAUUAAAAGGUAUUCGUUUAUUUUAUUUCUGUAAAUUAUAGGAAAAAUGAAUUUGAAAAUGCAUUGUCUUCUGCUAAAGAAAUUGCUUUUGAAAUAGAUACAGAGUAUAAGUUAUGUGAAAAACAUGGUAGAUCUGUUGAUAAUAUAAGUUAUGUGAAAAACAUGGUAGAUGUGUUGAUAAUGAAAUUCUAAAAUCUCCUAAAAAAUCAUUUAGAUUUUAUGACUUUCUAUACAUUCAAAGAAAACAAUUAACUCCAAAGUUGAUUUAAGAAUUCAAAAUAUAAGAAAAUAUGAAAAAUAUUUGAAGAAUAAUUUCGUGAUAUUGAUGGAUUAUAUUUAUUUUCAAAAUUUAAUAUCUUAAAAGAAAUGACAGAAUUGAAAAAUAAUAACUAAUUGACCUUCUAAAUCAUAUAAAAUAAAUAAAUUAUUUUCCAAAUAUAUAUAUAAGAGAGGGAUUACAGGUAAUAAAAUAAUAUAAAUAUUCUAGUACUACCAAUAUAAUCAAGAAAUUAAGGUGAAUGAGAAUUUAUAUUUUUUUUCUCCAAUCCAUAAAGAAAUGUUUUAAAAAAAAUCAUUAUAAAAGAUCGAUCUAUUAUAAAGUGGAUUUUAAGCUUAACUCAAUCCCAUAAAACUGGUUUAAUCCCAUAAAACUGGUUUAUAGGGUUGAGGAUUGCACCCACUUAUAUACGAUGAAAGACUCUAAUCUCUAGUCGAUGUAGAUUCCAACAUCAACCUCAAAUAAUAUUUCUUGUAAUUAAGAUCAAAACAGUAAACGAUUACAAUAUCGAUUGAUUUCGUUGAAAUGAUUUUUUUAAAACUAAAAGUUACUUAAUAUUAUCAACGAAACCCGAGGCUCACCUCUCCUUUGACCAUGUUAAUUCACAAUCUCUUUCACUAUGCCAUUAAAUGAGUUUGGAACAAGUUUUGUCUUUCUCACCGUCGUCAUGCUUCCCAAGGACCCAUUCACUUAACUCUUCGUGCGUUCCAAUGCAAACAAGUCAGGGUUUUGAUUUGCUUCCUACGAAUCCAAAAUUAGUAACUACAGAAUGUUGUUUGUUGUUGACUCUACAAAUUUAGGGUGGGAAAGAAAAGUUUAUAUCAUACUACUCCACUUCAUAUGCUACUUCAUUUGAUUUUUUUAUUGGUUGUUCUUUGAUGAAGUUUUUCAUUGCUGUUGAUGUUCUUGGUGGUUCUUUGGUCAAGGUGUCUAUUGCUACACGGUGUGUGGGUGAAUUUGUUGGUGACUAGAUUUUUUUGUUAUCAUGGGCUGGUGCAUAGUUGUACCUUUUUUUUUUCAUUGAAAAUUUAAUUUGUAUGGGUGAAAUCUAAACUAUAAAGAUGAUGAAAUUUGCUAAUUCUAGAAUACGUUGUGAUUUUGCAACUAUUUUAUUUUACUUCUACUAUGUGUGAAUUUAGUAAGGUUGAAACCAUCUUGAAAUCUUUUUUAUAUUUAUUUAAACUAUGAUUUGACUCUCGCUAUUUGUUUAUAUUUUAAUAUUAAUUAGGACUUAAUCCUCUUUAAGUUAGAGUAUGUUAAGGUUGCGACCUCUCUAGGUUAGAGUAAGCAAGGUCUUGAUCCUCUCUCUAAUUUAGAGUUAAAGUUUUCCAAUUUCCAAUAAACAACUCUUUUACGUUGUUAAGCCCACUCUAUUAACGAGAGUCCAAUCUACAUUAUUAGUUUCCACUUAGAGAGGACUUAUGAUUGUUAUAGGUUGACGUAAAUAAAAAAGUCAUUUUCAAUCCGUUCACGGUGUAUGGAACACUAUAUGUCCACAUUAAUUAUAAUGUAACGACUUCUUUUUCAAUUUUAGUCCAUCUUUGACUCAUGCUAUAGACAUUUUUCUUGUAAUUUGAUAACUUUGGAUAUUAGAAUGAGAAAUUUUUCUCGGUCAUCAUCCACUGAAUUUGAGUGUUGGAGUGACUAAUAACUCAAUUAAGGGAAACUUCAAAAUAUUAAUUCAUAAAUCACAUUUAUUAUAGAUAUAAAUGUAAAUUUGAGAAUAGGGAAUUAUGAUUGUAUUAAAAAAUAAAUAUUAUUUGUGUGUUUUUAUAACAUGAUUGAUAAAACUUACGUAACCAUUUAAAAUUAAAGCGAAAUAGGAUUAAUUGAGAAAUGUAUCGAUUAGCACAUGUAUGUUCUUUUCAACGGCUUUGGUGACCUAAUUAGAAAACGUCAAACUAUACUGGCAACCUAACUGGAAAACUUCAAACUAUACAGCCAUUCCAUUACUUGUGGAGUAAGGCAAAAAUGCCUUUGUGUUUACUUUUCUAGUAUACGUGCAAGUGUACAGGUCCACUAAUUUCGCAUAUGGUUCUUUCAUUGGCUUUUUAUUGAGUAUAGAUAUGAAAUAUAUUUGGUCCACGUCAAAAAGAAAAAGAAUUGAAAGCGAAACCAAAAAGCGAAAAAAAAAGUAGAAUUAGAAAAUUAAAUAAAUGUUGAAGUUAUUUGAUAAAAUAUAAAUAAUUAUGUUUUCUAUUUCAUUUCUCCUAUUGCAUCAUAUCACGUGACCUAUUUAUAUUCAUAUUGAUUUACUAGGAUUAAUAGUGUUGGAAAGGAAAUAUCAAUUUUGUUUCUUCUACAACUUAACAAUUAACUUAAAUGCUUGUUUGGUAUUGUUAUAAAUCUGAGACUUAGACUGAAAAGUGAAUUGUGAACUUAUGUUUAUUAUUAGAUUAAAAAGUGAGUUGUGAACUUAGGUUUAUUAUUAUAAAUUAUUUAUACUUAUUUUAUUUGUGUAGUAAGUUACGUGUGUUUUUAUUAGUUGAAUGGUGUUGGUUAUUAAUUAUGAUUUCUAUUAUUAAUACUGAUUUCACCGUUAUACCGUUAUUGUUUCAUUAAUGGUUAGUUUACUUAUUUCCUUCCAUUAGUUUCCUACAAUUGGUAUCAAGAGCUAGUCUGUUAUCAUGAACUCUACCCAAUUACUAGUCCUAUGGAAAAAAUUACAAUCAGUGGUGUGUGCAAAUGAGAGUUUUUUUUAUUAUUUAUUAUCAUGAGUUAUGGGAUGUCGUUGAGGGUGGAGUGGUUGCAUUAGCUGUUAAUGCAAUUGAGGCGCAACGAGUAGCGCAUCAUGAUGACAAUAAGGCUUUGUAUCUCAUCCAUAGGGAUGAAUGACAAGACGUUUGAGAAAAUAUAAGGAGCAACAACUGCAAGUGAUGCUUGAAUCAUUUUGUCAACCAAUUAUAAAGGGUGAUGACAAGAUCAAUAGGGUGCGUCUUCAAACCCUAAGACGCCAAUAUGAACUGUUGCAGAUGGAAACCACAUAGAUUAUUGAUGUCUAUAUAAAUAAAGUUCUUGCCUUGACAAAUCAGAUGAAAAGCAAUGGUGAAACACAUUCGGAGCAGGCAAAGGUGGAGAAGAUUUUGAGGUCUUUAACUCCCAGAUUUGAACAUGUUGUUGCCGCAAUUGAAGAGGCCAAUGACAUUUAAAAAAUGACAGUAGGGUUAUUGUCUGGUUACCUACCAGCGCAUGAGCAGCGAAUGAAUGACAAUAAUAUUGAAAAACCAAUUGAACAGGCUUUACAAGCACAAGACUCAAUUGGUAGCUCUUAUCAUAAACACGGUAGUUCACGAGGCAGAGGACGGGGACAUGGUGGUAGCUAUUCCAGCAAAGGUCGUGGUGGCUAGAAUCAUGGAGGCGCUGAGCAAAAUAACAUUGGUUUCAAUCACAUUCCAAGUUCAAAUAACUCUUGACGUGGAGAACGUGAUCGCGGAGGAUGAGGAGGCAUUUAUAAUAAAUCAAAUGUGGAGUGUUAUAACUGUCAUAAACGCAACCAUUAAGCAAAUGAGUGCAGAUCAAAAAGUGAUAAUCAUGCUGCCAAUUGUGCUCAAGAAGACAGUAAUCACGUACAAGAUGAAGAGGAUCAUGCAUAACUAAUGACAGCCACAUCAAAUGAAACUCCAAACAAUCAGACUUGGUAUUUGGAUACAGGUUGCACAAAUCAUAUGUGUGGUCAAAAGGAGUUGUUUGCAUAUUUGGAUGACUCAUUUUGCACAAAAGUGAAAUUCGGUGAUGGCAGGGUCGUUCCGGUGACUGGAAAAGGGCGAAUUCUUAUCACAUUGAAGAAUGGUGAUCACAGGUACAUAUAUGAUGUUGUCUAUGUACCUGAUAUGAAAAGUAAUUUGUUGAGUAUGUGACAACUGGCUGAGAAGGGUUAUGUGAUGUACAUAGUUGAAAAUAAAUUCUCAAUUUUUGAUAAAAAAUGUAGUUUGAUUCUUAAAACCUUUUUAUCAAAAAACCGUAUGUUUCCAGUAGAUAUUCAUAUGGGUGACUUCAAGUGCUUGAAUGCAAUAGUGAAUAAUGAAUCGUGGUUAUGGCAUUUACGCUUUGGGCACUUAAAUUUUCAGAGUUUGGAAAAUCUCUCCAAACGAAAUUUAGUGAAUAGUUUACCCCAUAUUUAUCACCCUGAUCAAUUGUGUGAGACUUGCAUUUUUGGAAAGAAUCACAGGAUACCAUUUGUUAAGGAGCCUUGGCGUGCAAAAUUUCCUUUGGAGCUUGUUCAUAUAGAUGUUUGUGGCUCAAUGAACAUAUCAUCAGUUGGAGGUAAUAAGUAUUUUUUAACCUUUAUUGAUGAUUUUUCAAGGAAAACCUGGAGUUAUCUAUUGAAAAGCAAGGAUGAGGUAUUCCACUGCUUUAAAAUAUCAUAUUUAAAGCAUUUGUUGAAAGACAGAGUGGCAGACAAAUUAAGAUGAUGCGUAGUGAUGGAGGGGGUGAGUACAAGUCUAAUGAGUUCAAGAGGCACUGUGAAGAACUUGGAUUGCAACAUAACAUAACAUGUCUCUACACACCUUAACACAAUGGAGUUGUCGAGAGAAAGAAUAGAACAAUCAUGGACAUGGCGUGGAGCAUGCAUAAAGCGAAAGGUAUGCCAAAUUAUUUUUGGGCUGAGGUCGUAACAUGUGCGGUAUAUUUGAUAAAUAGAUCACCCACUCGGAGUGUUCCUAACACAACUCCGAUUGAGGCAUGGAGCGGAUUCAAACCCAAUGUGCAACACUUGAAGGUAUUUGGGUCUAUUACUUAUGCUCAUGUCCCCAAAGCAGCAAGAUCGAAGUUGGAUGAUAAGGCAGAGAAGACCAUUUUCAUUGGAUAUAAGCAUGGGGGAUACAAAUUGUACAAUCCAAUGACAAAGAAGGUGAUUGUUAGUUGUGAUGUUACAUUUGUCGAAGAUGAGGAAUGGCAAUGGAAUGCAACAGUUGAAAUUGAUUAAAAAAAAACGAUAUAUUUACGUUUUGAACGAUGAUGUGGAAGAUGGAGUCACUCUUGAAGCACCUGCAGUUCAACCAGAAGCUGCAAUUCAACCUGAAGUUGCAAAUCCAAUUGCAACUAUGAUGGAGCGACCAAGAAGGCAGCAACGACAACCUGUACACCUUCAAGAUUGGCGAAGUAAAUCUUGAUGAUGAAGUUGAUGACAAUGGAGAUUUGGUUCACUUUGUUUUUCUUGCAGAUUCAGAACCCAUGAGACUUGCAGAUGUCAUUCAACACCCCAAAUGGCAGAAGGCUAUGAAUGAAGAAUUGAUGGCGAUUGAGAAAAACAAUAUCAUGACUCAAAUUUGUUUUAAUCCAGAUAUUCCAAUUAAGAUUUAUGUUGACAAUGUCUCUGCAAUUAAUCUUGCAGAGAAUCCAGUUUUUCAUCAAAUAAGUAGUCACAUUGAUAUUCGAUAUCACUUCCUGCGAGACCAAGUUAAGAAGAACAUGAUCAAAUUGGAAUACUACAGAUCAGAAGAUCAGAUUGCAAAUAUUUUCACUAAGCCAUUGAAGAUCAAUGCUUUCAUCAAGUUAAGAAAUCUGUUGGGUAGGAAGGUUGCUCCAAAUCAGAAUUAAGGGAGGAUGUUGGUUAUUAAUUCUGAUUUUAUUAUUAUUAAUUCUGAUUUUAUUAUGCUUAAACUAUUUUACCGUUAUUAUUGCAUUAAUGGUCAGUUAGUAUUCCUAUUUUAUAACUUCCAGUAUUUGUAAUUUUAUUAUAUAUAUUAUAUAUAUUAUUGAGUAAAUCAAAAUAUAUGAUACCAGCUCAACAGUUUUGCAAUCUUGUGCAAUUACCUUCAAUCAGUUUCUACAACAUUUUGCCUUCUCUUAUUUCCUUCAAUUAGUUCCUACAAAUGAGAAUAUAAUUAAUAUAAUUAUUUAAUAAGAAACUUAUAUACCACCUCAAGUUAUUUUGGAGUCAAAAUAUUAUAGGAAUGGUUAUCAAUGAAUGAUUUACUAAAAGUGGUAAAUUUUCUUGAGGUUUUAUGAAUGUGAAACCUAAAUAUGUAAAUUUUGAUAGUCAAAAGACUAAUCCCUUUAAGAAUUAAUAUAUUUCAAUAAAAGUGAUUGGAUAUGGUUUUAGUUUGGAGUCAACAACUUAAAGAGACUUGUGUCAAUGUGUAAUCUAUUCUAAUCCACAUAGGUUGAACUCCUAUUAAGGAUACAUAAAUUUUUAAUCUGAUCAACAAGCUAAAGAGAUUGUAUUAAAAAUAUUUCAGUAGUCUAACAGUGGUUGCGAAUUCACGUGAUAUGUGUAGCUCUCAAAGUAAAUAACUUGUUUUCCAAGCUAUCCAAAGAGAUCAAUAUACUUGUCUCCCAAGAGAUUUAUUACUACCCAUGUCAUUUAGACACAAAUAUUUAUGAUAUUGGUAAAAUUAAAAAAAAAUAACUUUACCUACAAAUAGUUAAAAUAUUUGAAAUAAGUGAAGUAAAUGAAUAAUAUAAAUUUAUUCAGAGAUUAUUUAUUAUGAUAAACCUAAUUUAUUUUAAAAGAAUAUAUGACUAAUACAUUUUUUACUUACUCAAAUAUAGUUUAAUUUAUUUUAAAAAAAAUCCAAAAGCUAAAACUUUAGAACAUAAUAUUUUAAAUGUUUUACUUUACACGUGUAAUCCUUAACUAUUUAAAUGUUAUACAAUUAUUAUAGAUAUAAUAACUAUUUUAAAGAAAAUAUUUUAUUUAUUUUAUACAUUUUUCUUACAACAACAAAAUAAAAACCAUAGAUAAAUCCCACUCUUUUAGUGUUUUUUUUUUCUUUCUCUUUUCUCAAUUUGCCAAUUUGCCGUCAUUGUUGAAGAUCUCACCCACUAAUCAAAGUCAUAUUUGAUGUGAAUGUUCUCUUCAAUUCAAAGUUUAUCUUAAUAUUAUGCUAAACUUAGACUUAGUCUAAACCUUACUGACUUGAUUUCAACUUUUCUUUAUAUUUCUUCUUUUUAUACAUAACUUUUCAAACUUUUAAUCUUACACAAAAAGCAUGUCAUUCUUCUCUGACAACAUUUUAUUUCAAUUUUUCUUGAUGGUGUGCUUCAUUUGAAAUUUCAUUUUACUUUAUAUUUCAAUUUUGCUCAUAAGUUAUGAUUGGAGUUUAUUCUAAUUUUUUCCAGUGUCUUAAUAUUUUUCCAUAGUGUGUUUGAUUUUUUAAUUUUCUAUGCAAAAAUUAGUGUUAAUAAUUGUGUCUAACUUUUCUUGUACUCUGUCCUUUAGUUUGAAUGCUUCAUCCUCUGUUCUGCUUCUAAUUUUUCUUAUAUUUUAUCCUGUGUUUUGAAUGCUUAAACUUUUACACUUGUUUUAACCUGUUUUGCUAUUAAUUGUUGUUUACUUGUUGUGAUAUAAGGUUUGCGUGAUUAGUUAGUUGAUGGCAUACAAGUAAUGAAGAACUUUUAAGUAACACAGUUAGUUAAUACUCAAUUAUUAAAAUAUUGCAAGACAUUUCUUAAAAGUGUUUUAUGUUUUAUGUAAUUGUAUUUACCUAUAAUGAAGUUGAUAGCGAAAGAAAUAUUUAAUACUUUUUUUUUCUUUUUUUUUUCUUUUGGAAGGAAUCGAGGGAUACAAACUAUAUCUUCAUAUAUGGAAAAUUAAUUUAGUUAUAUCAGUUGCUAAGUGAAGAUCAAGAUCAUUUGUUUAUUAGUGUGUACGUAUUGAUGUGUUUUGGGAUUAUUAAAAUUUGACGUGUUUGAUAAAGAGUGAUUUAUUCAUAAGUAAACUAUGUUUUGGGAUUAUUAAAUUACGUAUUGAUACUUUUAUUUUCGUGAGGGGAAUGCAUGUGCUGAUAAGUUGACUAAUUUAGGGUUCAUUCAUAGAUAAUCAUUUUAUUGGUAUAAUAGACUUCUAUCUAGUAUGUUCUUAGAAUUCUUUAUGAAUAGGUAUAGUCUACCUAUGUAUCGUUUUUGUUAACAUGUGAGUUUUGGUCUAAUCCUCCCAUAUUUUGGUAUUUUUUUUCUUUUUUUUAAUAAUAUGUUUUUCAUGUGAUGGCAGAUGAUUGUUGUUACUUGAGGUGUCAGCCUAGCUGAGAUGUCAAGUUGCAUAAUGAUGUCUAACAUGGAAAAUUUUAUAAAAAAUAAAAAAACAAAAAAAAACUAUGGUUUUUGUUAUUGAGAAAUUGUUUUUAAGAAAGUGUUGAUUACAAAUUACUAUUUUUUUUAAAAAAAAAUUGUUUUGAACAUCGUAACAUCUUUUUAAUGAAAAAUAUUUAUUGCAUAUAGGGGCUUUUAACAAGUUUGGAAUUGAGUGGAAAUUGGUGUUGGUUUAUGUUGCAAGUUGAUGGUUGAAUCAUAUUCAUAGAUAGAGUUGGUACUUUUUAAUAAUGUAAUUUAGUAUAUUAUUGAUAUUUUAAAAUGAUAAAGAGUGUGUGUAUAAUCUCAAUAAUAUAUGAUUUAAAUGUAUUAAAAAUUGAACUUUAAACAUAAAUCAACUUUAAAAAAUCGACUCAUAAGUUAAGGUUUGCACUUACUUAUAUAUUAUGAAAUGUUUUUAUCUUUGGUCGAUGUAGGAUUUUCAACAUUUCCCUUCACGUCAAGAUCUAUCAAUUCGUGUGUGAAACUAUAUAUUUAUAGGUGGUCAGAUAGCAACCGACCUUAUAAGUCUAACAAACUCUCAUUAGGAUAAACUGUAAAUGACUCUAAUACCAUAUUAAGAAGUGAAUUUUAAGCUUAAUUCAAUUUUAUAAAAUCAAUUCAUAAGGUAAUAUUUACACUCACUUAUAUAAUAUGAAAUGUUUUUAUUUCUAGUCGAUCUGAAAUCUCGAACAAAAUGUGAAAAUAUUCAAUUUUACAAGUAUGAUUAUUAUAAUUAUUAAAUAGGAGAGAUAUGAUUAUUAAGAUCUCAUUACUUGUAUUAUAAAAAAAACCCACGAACUAAAUUUUGUAUUGAUAAAAACUUGAGGAUUGUGGUUGAAAAGGCAGAACAAUUGUAAGAAUUAUCUUUUCAAGCAUAAUACAAAGUAUUUCUUUGUAAUUGAUAAAAAUUUAAACUGACACAUCAAAUAUUUAAAUUAUAUUAUUGAAAAUGGGUUCAUAGAUGAUUUAAAGAAGUAUAUGGUACAAGUUGAAAAUUUAAGAGGUUUUAAAGCAAUAAUAAUCAUAAAAUUUGGAGGAAUGACGUCCAUUCAAAAGUGAUAGGAUGAAAAAAGAAAGACAUGUAUGUUGUUUUAAUAGACUUCCACCAACUAAAUAUUUAAAUAUCUCAUCUCAAAAUUCUAUAACAGAGAAUAAGAUUAACAAUUUAGAAAAGAUUUUUAAAAAUCUUUUAUCUUUUCUUUAGAAAACAUUUUUAAAAAUCUUUUAUCUUUUCUUUAGAAAACAUUUUUAAAAAUCUUUUAUCUUUUCUUUAAACAUGAUGAGUGGUAAUUGUUCUUGCCAACAAUGUGGAAUCACAUCUUCAAGGUAGUCUCCGAACAAUCUUUCGGUAUUGUAGUCCUUGAGUGCUUGAAGAUCACCAAGUGAUGAGGGGAGCUCCACUCGUUGACAAGACUUCGACAAUCAAAUCAGUGAGAACAUUAAAUAUUUCAAUGUAGUAUGUAUUGCAUAGAAUAAUACUUGUCUUUGUUUGGGGACUCAUGACCCUUAUAUAGGACUCGUAGAUCCUUUUUUAGGAGUUUGUAAUCAGACACUUCCUUUGAACUUUUAGUUACACGAUUCGAUUUGUUGGACUCGAUCCGACUGACCCGAAAACGUCUAUUGAGUCCGAUCCAUUGGACCGAAAACACCCGAUCCACAUUAUCGGGUUCUACCCCGAUCUUGACUGAACGAUACAGUAAUAUACAAAUUGUAAAUAAAAAAUAAAAAAUAUAGUAAUUACAUUUAAUCAUCUAUAAAAAAAUUUAAUACUAAUAUGAUAUUUUAAAAAGAUAUUUUUUUCGGAAACACUUGAUGAUGAUGGAAGGAUUGAAAUUAUUCUAAUAGUAAUGUUUAAACACAGUAAAAAAAAGUCAAGUGAUAUGAUAAUGAUUGAAAAUUUACUUUUAAAUACAAUUAUCAUUUUUUACUAUAAGAUCAAUUUUUUUAAUGUGAUUACAUAUAUUUUAUAAAUGAUGUGGAUUUUUAUGGCCUGUACACAUCAUUAAUGAGUGAGAUAAUAUGUUUAAUCAUUUGCCAUUUAAUUUUUAGUACUUUCAAUGAACAAAUGAGAUUCAUAUGUAAGAAAUUUAGCAUCGAUUAUGACUCAUAGGACACAAAAUGUAUUUCAUUGAGUUGAGUGUGGUAUUUCAAUACCUAAUUAAUAUUUUUUUUGUCAUUAGUAAUUUGGUAUUGAUUUAAAAUCGAAAUUGUUGUUGACUAUUAAGAUUUAUUUGCUUUUGUAACUAUUAUGUUUUCCUCUUAUAAAUUUUGUUUAUAUUUUAGAUUAUAAAGUUGUUGUAAAACAUUGCAAAAACUUUUCUUAGUGGUUUUUAUCUAGUACAAUCAUUUAUAUUUUAGUGGACUUUUAUUGAAUUGAAUACACCCUACUCCAAUAGCCUAUGACGAGUCACACAAAUUUCAUUUGACAACAAAGAAUCUAUAGGGACAAAAAGUGGAACUUAUAGAGAAUCUUUAAAUUCAAAUUGAUAUUUUGAAUAAGUGAACAAAAAGUUAAACCCAUUUAUUAUAGCCAUUGUUUCCAAAAAUAUUUAAUAGUGAAUAUUUGAGCAAAUAAUGUAGAAUGUAUUAUAGCUAAAGACAAACAUCAUAUUAUUGUUUGGUACACGGAAAAUGUUAUAUUAUCACAAUUAUCGGUAUAUAUUAAUAAAUUUAUUCUCAAAAUUUUAACUAAUAAAUUUAUUCCACCAUUUUAUACAUGGACUAUAAUGAUAGAUUGUUAAAUGCCCUUAAAAUUUUACAUCACACUUUAUAUAGUAAAAAUAUUAUCAUGAUAUCUAUUACAAUGAAAGAAUGACAUAAACAAAAAUAUUUUGGUAUUAAAAUAUUAACGAAAAAUAAUAAAUUAUAUGGUAUUAUUAGUAAAGUAAGGAACUAAAAAUUAUUGAAGUUUUUGUGGAAUAAACUCAUACGGAAUAAUAUGUCAAAAAAAUUAAUUGAACUUAACAAUUGUUUUUUAUUAGCUAUAAGAAUGAAAUUAAUAAAGAUAUAUAUUUUAGAGAUAUAUUAACCUUAUACAAAAUCAUCAUUAUCAAACUUUCAUCUUGCAUUAAGUCUAUAAUGAUAUUAUACUCAAAACAGAUUAAUCAUACUAAAAACCACAACAUAAUCUAUUAAUCCAAACUUCUUAAAAAUGAUGUUCUUCUCAUAUUGAAUAUAUAGUUUUUAUUGAAGUUAAUAGUAACUCAUCAUGAUUAAAAAACAUGUUGUUUAGAGUUAAUUUUGUUUGAUAGACAAUUAUAUCAUCUAACUAUAUUACUUUAUUGUGUAAUUCCACUAUAUUGAUAUAAGUCUCAAUUUGAUGUACGGGAAAAGAUAGAAAAGAAAGAAAUGGGAGGAGUACAUUUGUUUAGUUAAUUAAAAAAGCUAAAUAAAUAUGUUUAAAAAAUUGUGAAACUGUGAAGUAUAUGAUAAGAAAAUCUGAACUUGUAAAUAUUUAUAACUAAAGUCUGCAAAAAGUAUAAAUAUUUUAAUUAUUUAUUUGUUAAAAGAGUGAAUAUGGAUAUCAUGCUAUUUAGUUAGCGAAUGUUCACUGUCCAUUAUUAAUUAUUUUUAUUUGAAUAUAUUUUUUAAUUAAGCAAUUGAGUAAAAUUAUUAACGAGAAAACAUUAAAAAUUGAUGAAUUAUUUAUAACUUAAUUUUAUAAAUGUAUAGUUUUUAUUUAGACUUGUGGAGCUAAAAUUAUCUUCAAAAGAUUAAUUUUAUUUAAAGUUAUAUUGUGAAGAAUUUUUUUAGAAUGAUUAAUUUUUUUCUAAUAAUAGCUUAUGAAACAUUUUUAUUAUAAUUAUACAUUAAUAUCAAUAUUUUAUCUUAUUUUAUUUUAUGUUUUAAAGAAUAAUUUUUAAAUAAUAUUAUUUUCUUAAAAGAAGGAUCCACGUGUAUCUAUUGAAAUAGGCAAGUAUUUUAAAUAACAUUAUAUUUUUUUAGUAGAAAUACUUCUUCAUAAGAUUUAUUUAUAAAUAACAAGUCACUUUAGAUAUGGUUAUCUCCUACUUCCAUAUCAAUGUAGACUCUUAUAUGUGUGACGUCAUUUAUUAUGAACUUGAAAUGUACUAUCUUAAGUGUAUCCUAUAGAAAACACCAUCACAUUCAAGUCAAAUAAUAUAAAAAUUAAGUAAUAAAUGAAUAAUACAUAUUUUGAGAUCUUCACCAUUAACUUUUAUUUAUAUCGAGUAUCGGUGGUUAAAUAUGACUUUAGUAUUGAGUUAAGAUUUUAAUAAUAAAAAUAUAGUGUAAGGGAAAAUAAUGUUAAUAUUUUAAUACUUUUGCGUGUUGAAAGAAAGAAAACAAAUCUAAAAAUAACUAUAGUUUAAACUUCGUUAAUUUUAAUAAAAAGCAUCUUCAAAACCGUAUUUAGUAGUAUAUAUAAUUGUAUUAUUUCCAGUUAUUUAUUUUAUUUUGUAGAUGCUUUCUAAAUUUAAAGGAAGAACCCAGACUUUAACCAAAACAUAUUUCUAUCCAAAAUAAAUGUAUGGUUAUGGGAAAAAAUAGCCUACAAUUGAUCAUACAAUCCAUUCAUUAAAUAAUGGAGUACAAUACAAUGUGCUAUAAUGAACCCAACAACGUCUUGUUCUAGGUUUUGUAUAUUCAGUCAUUGAUUUCUAAAUUUUUAUAUGAAUGUUUACAAUAAUAUUUCAAGGUCAAGUUAGUACUUCCUCCGAAUAAAGAAUAUAAAGUAAAAAAAGUUAAGAAUUCAUUAAUUAAUACUUAGUUUGAAGAAAAAACAUAUAAUAAAAAGUUAUAUAUUUAUUAUUUUCAAUUCACCUAUUUAUAACGGUAUUCUUCUAGUUAAGAAGAAUGUCUUCCAACUAAAGAUUUAGUUUAGUCAAAAAUAGUUAUUUCCAACUAAAUUGUAGUUCUGUCUCAUACCAUCAUCUUCCUCUUUUAUUUAAUAAUUAUUUCUCUAUUAUAGUAUUUGUCUCAUUCUUAGAUACAUUCUUAGAUUAAUUACAAUCUCGCAUAUUCAGUUAAUGUUUGUCACUUUCAAUAAAAAAAAUAAAAAAAAAUUUCAUUAUUUUAAUAAAUAGAUCAAUAUCAUAACCGUUUUCAUCUAUUAUUGGAAUCGACUUAUGAUCUCACAGUUCUCAAAUUCCAACAUAAUCCAAUGAGACUAAUAAGAUCAUGAAGUAAUUAAUUAUAGGAUGUAUCUUAAAUUUUGACUGAAAUCCAUACCAUUGAGGUUGAUGCAAAAGUUCACAUAUACUAUUAUACCUCAUCUAUAGAAAUGAUUAAUUGAGAUCCAAAUAGACUUAGAUGCGCUUAAUCAUAAUUUAUAUAUUGUUUACUUUACUCUACUUAUUAAUUAUAUUAUUACACCCUUAAUUUCACUUUAGAGAUACUUGCAUCAUUCAGUGGUGAGAUGUUGGGAUAUCGAGUGUGAUAUCGACACCUCAUAUAUUCCGGUACAAUGCAUUUGAGGAAAAUAAAAACCGAUCAUAUGUAUAAUUUUUUGUUUUCUUCCAUGCUUGGUUGUCACUUAGGUCAAUUCAGCACGAACCAACAUACUCCAUUUCAUCUUCUCAUAAAUCGAAGACAAUAAUUCCAGGAAAUGAAAAUGGGGUAUGUUAAUAAAGAAAAAAAAUAAGAGAAAAUUGCACAUAAAUAAAAUUCAAUUGAGUUCUUAAAUUACAAUGAUAUUGAAAAGAGUAGAAAUAUAUAGUUAAUUUGGUGAAUAAACAAAGUAGGUUGGAAAAAUGCGAUGAAAGCAUGAUAAGAUAGUUGUGGUUGUCUGUGGAAAUGCGAAACCCCUCUUUCUUGUUUUGUUUUGCACAUAUUUUACAAGCAAAUCCGACAAACAGAAAGAAUUGCAUAAGUCCAAACCUACUGGUAUUAUUUAGACGUUAAUAAUUGCCAGCUUUUGCCAGCUCCUACUUCAUCAUUAAAAUAUAAUUUAAAAAAAUAGACACAGAAACAGUAGUGAAGACUUUGCUCCUCAGUCCCAAAAAAUGACAACGGGAUACACUGGAUUUCCACACUUUCUCACAUGCUCGUCUUUUUCAUUUUCUGCCACGUGUAUUGUAAUGUAGCAAGGUCCCUCUGGUUCCAGCUGCGCAAACCUCACUCUCUUCCUUCAUCAUCAUCAUCAUCAUCAUCUUCUACCACUACAGCCACAAUAAACAUGCAUACCGUAUUUUUUCUUUUCAAAUAUUAUACGUAUACUUUUUGAUAUUUUAUUUCCGUUUGAGUUGAGUAGUUGUUCUCCAUUUGCAACGGUUACCUAAUAUUAUUCUCUGUUUCCAUCUACCCCAUUAUCAACUACGUAUUGCAUAUAAAACAUUAGCGAUAAUGAAAGAAAGGGUCAUGUAUCUGCUUUCUCAAUCAUUAAUGCAAAAUUACCGAAUUUAAUGAUGUUACCAUUACGAAUGGAGAAAGGGUCAAACCAAAAAUAAAAAGUGCACCUUUUCAACUGGCGGACAAAGGACGAGACACGAGUGGCAUCAACGCGGGUAAAGCACCCCGCGUUUUACUACCAGACGGAACCCAUCAACGGGCUAUAAAGGACACACGUGUGAGUUCUAGAUCAACGGUCAAAACACAAGGGCACUCUAGUAAUAUCGUUAAACGACUUUAUGAGUUGUUGAAAAGUUAUGGUCUUUCCGAGGAAAGAAAAAGUAAAAAAUAAUAAUAAAAAUGGAUUUUUUUUCAUUAUUUUCAUAGUACACAUUUUGUUUUCAUUAAUGGAAUUUUAAAUUGUAUUAUUUUUUGUUGUUAGAACAAACAGAGGGCUAGAGUGAAAAUAAAUUUAACGGGGAGAGGAGAGAGAGUGGGAAGCAUAUGAGAAUAGGAAGAUGGGUGGAAAAAACGCCGUACAGAGGGGUGGCGGAUGACAGCGACUGCUCACUGACCCACAUAACUGACACGUGUCCUGACGCAAAAGGGUGUGGAGGUAAUAUUGAGCAAGCAUAAUGGAGAAAAAGGCAAAGAAGGAACACACAUUAACAAAAAUCAAUUGGGCAGAAGAUCCACAUAUGCCAGCUAAUAUUUUGCACAUUUACAGAAAGAGAGGAAAAAUUGUAGUAGAGGCGGAAGAAAGUUGAAAUGAAGAUAAAAUAAAAAAAAAGAAUAAAGAAUAAAAAAGUGGGAAUGGAGAGUUAAGUGUUGACCCAUUAUUAUUACUCACAUCACACCGGCCUGACCUAGUCCAGGGUAUUAGGGAAGAUGAGGAAUGGGGACAGGCAGCAUAGAAGGAGUAGAUGCACAUCACAACAUAUAAAAAUAUUAAUAUAUAUAGUAAGGUUGGGAAAAUAAUGAGAUAAAAAAAAUUGUGUGUGAGCAUAUAGAAGGAAAUUAAAUUAGGACAUUGGAGUUGGAGGAAUCUUUGAGCAUUAUUGAUGCAUUAAUCGCCACUCCUUCAACGGUUCAUAUCUUACCUCUUUUUAUAUAUUCUGUUCCCUUAUCAUCUUCCACUGCUCAACUCUCUCUCUCUCUCUCUCUAACACAAGCUUCCGUUUUUCUGUUUCUCUUCUCUCUACUCAGAACAUGGGUUCUUCUGCAGUACAAUUGUUUCUCAUCUUGGGGCUUCUGGCUACUUCUUGCAUAGCACAAGCCCCAGGUGGCGCACCCACGCAGCCUCCCACAACCACCCCACCACCACCGCCCGCAGCAGCACCAGUACCUGCACCCACUGCACCCGCAACUCCACCACCAUCUUCACCACCACCUGCACCCACACCCGCACCCACACCAACUGCUCCCACUCCUGCUCCAGCUUCUUCUCCUUCAUCUGCUGCAUCUCCCUCAGCUGAGUCACCAGGCUCUCCUACAUCUCCCCCAGCACCACCGGCCCCCUCAUCUGCACCUUCACCCUCAGUCAGCGAACCACCACCCUCACCCUCCUCCGCAUUCUCCGUUGGCAAGGCCUUCGUUGCCGGGUCUGCGCUCGCGGGAACCUUCGUAGCCAUGGUCUUGGCUUGAAGACAGACCUGACGGUUGGGAUUCGUCCACGUGGAGGCUCUUGGGCCCUUGAUCUUGUUUUACAGCGACGGACGGACGGACGGGAUCUGUUUCAUUUAUUUUAUCCUCUGGUCUUGUUGAGUAGCGGUUUUCUUUUUCUCUCUUUGGGGUUUUAUGUGUUAGUUUUGUUCGUUCGUGGUUGAUGUGUUUGUUGAUUCGAUAUCUGGGAGGGUUGGGUGUUGAUGAUGAUGAUGAUGAUGAUGAUGAUGGUGAUGGUAUUCAUGAUUAUGAUGAUUAUUUUGUGAUUCAUUGUUCUGGUGUUCACACGUGUACGUAGAUGACCUUGAUGAUUUCAUUGUACAUCUAAUAAUUGAAAGAAUAAAACAGUUUGUCAUUCUUUUUACUUACAAUCUUGUUCC